AUUGAACGCUGGCGGCAGGCCUAACACAUGCAAGUCGAAUGGUAACAGGAAACAGCUUGCUGUUUCGCUGACGAGUGGCGGACGGGUGAGUAAUGUCUGGGAAACUGCCUGAUGGAGGGGGAUAACUACUGGAAACGGUAGCUAAUACCGCAUAACGUCGCAAGACCAAAGAGGGGGACCUUCGGGCCUCUUGCCAUCAGAUGUGCCCAGAUGGGAUUAGCUAGUAGGUGGGGUAACGGCUCACCUAGGCGACGAUCCCUAGCUGGUCUGAGAGGAUGACCAGCCACACUGGAACUGAGACACGGUCCAGACUCCUACGGGAGGCAGCAGUGGGGAAUAUUGCACAAUGGGCGCAAGCCUGAUGCAGCCAUGCCGCGUGUAUGAAGAAGGCCUUCGGGUUGUAAAGUACUUUCAGCGGGGAGGAAGGGAGUAAAGUUAAUACCUUUGCUCAUUGACGUUACCCGCAGAAGAAGCACCGGCUAACUCCGUA
rnacentral:rRNA from 1 species